rnacentral:lncRNA from 1 species
AUGAAGAAGGAAGAAGUGCUUCUGUUUCUUCAGAGGAGCUCCAGUCUUCACCCUCGCCUUGGAAAUCAUUUUCAGCCUUCAUUGCAGACCCUUCAGCCUCCUGAGACAGACCCCUCAGGACACUACAGUGGCUCCAGGCCUUUGACUGGAUCUUUCGGAUCUCCAGUGAACACACAGAUCCUUUGCACCCUUCCACAUCUGAUUCUGUGGGUGGUCACCAAAUCAUGCCUUCCUACUACUCACAAAAUGAAGGGAAAAAAUGCAACUCCAGCUGUGAUGAAACCAGAAGGUACCUGUGACUCCACCUGCAGUAUUUGGAGAAAGGCUGCCAAAUAUACUGCGGGUCAAGGAGGACUGCAGGAAGAUGCUGGGAGACAUGGUGGUUAAACACUUUGGAAUUAACCCAACAAAGGAAGUUAGAGGUCCUAUAACAAAAAUUAUAGAACUCUGAAAAAGGAGAUCAAAGAGAACAUCAGGAAACAUGGAUAUUGUCAGGUAAAAGGGCCAAAAACCAAGACCAGACCAGGCCACAACAAGCCUUUAUUAGG